AGCAGCCGCGGUAAUUCCAGCUCCAAUAGCGUAUAUUAAAGUUGUUGCAGUUAAAAAAGCUCGUAGUUGAAUUUCGGGGUUAGUAGGUUGGUCGUGCCACUGGUAUGCACUGGUCUCACUGAUUCCUCCUUCCUGAUGAACCGUAAUGCCAUUAAUUUGGUGUUGCGGGGAAUCUGGACUGUUACUUUGAAAAAAUUAGAGUGUUUAAAGCAGGCUAACGCUUGAAUACAUUAGCAUGGAAUAACGAAAUAGGACGAUCGAUCCUAUUUUGUUGGUUUCUAGGAUUGACGUAAUGAUUAAUAGGGAUAGUUGGGGGCAUUAGUAUUCAAUUGUCAGAGGUGAAAUUCUUGGAUUUUAUUGAAGACUAACUACUGCGAAAGCAUUUGCCAAGGAUGUUUUCAUUAAUCAAGAACGAAGGUUAGGGGAUCGAAGACGAUCAGAUACCGUCGUAGUCUUAACCAUAAACUAUGCCGACUAGGGAUCGGAUGAUGUUAAUUUUUUAAUGUACUCAUUCGGCGCC
rnacentral:rRNA from 1 species